rfam:Camelus ferus unplaced genomic scaffold scaffold632, whole genome shotgun sequence.
AGGGGUAUAGCUCAGUGGUAGAACACAAGCUUAGCACAUACGAGGUCCUGGGUUCAAUCCCCAGUACCUCCA